AUGACAGACGAUCACGUCGCGUUUGCCACUCUAGAUGAGUCAGUGACCGGCGUCGUGAAGUUUGGCAAUGGCUCGUCAGUACAUAUCAAAGGCAGAAGCUCCGUGCUAUUCAAAUGCAGAAAUAGCUCACACCGUGUACUGUCCAAGGUAUAUUAUAUCCCCAACCUUUGUAGCAACAUCAUAAGCAUUGGACAACUUGAUGAGAUUGGCUGUAAGACUGUUGUCGAGGACGGCGAGAUGUGUGUGUAUGAUCAGGAAAGGAUCCUACUGGUGCGUGUCAAGCGGACAGGGAACAGGCUCUAUGUAAUGAAACUGAACAUCACUGAACCCGUCUGCAUGCUAGCAAGAUCAGGUGACACUGCGUGGCAAUGGCACGCGAGGUUCGGGCAUCUGCAUUUUCGUGCUCUCCAUGAUCUGGGCACGAAGGGCAUGGUCAGUGGCAUGCCUGCAGUGGAUCAAGUGCAUCAGGUCUGCUCCGGCUGCACUAUUAGCAAGAUGCAUAGGAAGCCAUUCCCAUCAGCCUCGAUGUAUAGGGCGGAGCAGCCUCUAGAGCUGUUUCAUGGAGAUCUCUGCGGGCCAAUCUCACCAGCGACUGUAGCCGGUAACUGA
rnacentral:rRNA from 1 species